CGUUAUGGCGGGCCGUGCGUGGGACACCUUCGGGUGUGCCGGGUUCCUGUAUCUCCGGUCUUCCUACCCCGCGUACGGUUCGCCACCCAA
rnacentral:antisense_RNA from 1 species